AUUGAACGCUGGCGGCAUGCCUUACACAUGCAAGUCGAACGGCAGCGGGGACUUCGGUCCGCCGGCGAGUGGCGAACGGGUGAGUAAUGUAUCGGAACGUACCAUUCAGUGGGGGAUAACUAUCCGAAAGGAUAGCUAAUACCGCAUAUUCUGUGAGCAGGAAAGCAGGGGAUCGCAAGACCUUGCGCUGAUUGAGCGGCCGAUAUCAGAUUAGCUAGUUGGUGAGGUAACGGCUCACCAAGACUACGAUCUGUAGCGGGUCUGAGAGGAUGAGCCGCCACACUGGGACUGAGACACGGCCCAGACUCCUACGGGAGGCAGCAGUGGGGAAUUGUGGACAAUGGGCGCAAGCCUGAUCCAGCCAUGCCGCGUGAGUGAAGAAGGCCUUCGGGUUGUAAAGCUCUUUCGGCCGGGAAGAAAUCGCAUCAGCUAAUACCUGGUGUGGAUGACGGUACCGGAAUAAGAAGCACCGGCUAACUACGUGCCAGCAGCCGCAGUAA
rnacentral:rRNA from 1 species